rnacentral:rRNA from 1 species
AGCAUAUCAAUAAGCGGAGGAAAAGAAACCAACAGGGAUUGCCUUAGUAACGGCGAGUGAAGCGGCAACAGCUCAAAUUUGAAAUCUGGCCCUUGGGUCCGAAUUGUAAUUUGUAGAGGAUGAUUUUGGUGCGGUAUCUUCCGAGUUCCUUGGAACAGGACGCCUUAGAGGGUGAGAGCCCCGUACGGUUGAAUGCCUAGCCUCUGUAAAUCUCCUUCGACGAGUCGAGUAGUUUGGGAAUGCUGCUCUAAAUGGGAGGUAAAUUUCUUCUAAAGCUAAAUAUUGGCCAGAGACCGAUAGCGCACAAGUAGAGUGAUCGAAAGAUGAAAAGCACUUUGAAAAGAGGGUUAAAUAGCACGUGAAAUUGUUGAAAGGGAAGGAUUUGUGACCAGACUUUUUCUGGGCGGAUCAUCCGGGGUUCUCUCCGGUGCACUUCGCCCAGUAAAGGCCAGCAUCGGUUUUCGGCGUGGGAUAAAAGCAGUAGGAAUGUGGCUCUCUACGGGGAGUGUUAUAGCCUAUUGUAUAAUACCGCGCUGGGGACCGAGGUUCGCGCUUCUGCAAGGAUGCUGGCGUAAUGGUUAUCAAUCACCCGUCUUGAAACACGGACCAAGGAGUCGAACAUUUGUGCGAGUGUUUGGGUGUUAAACCCUCACGCGUAAUGAAAGUGAACGGAGGUGAGAGCCCUUACGGGUGCAUCAUCGACCGAUCCUGAAGUUUUCGGAUGGAUUUGAGUAAGAGCAUAACUGUUCGGACCCGAAAGAUGGUGAACUAUGCGUGGAUAGGGUGAAGCCAGAGGAAACUCUGGUGGAGGCUCGCAGCGGUUCUGACGUGCAAAUCGAUCGUCAAAUCUGCGCAUGGGGGCGAAAGACUAAUCGAACCAUCUAGUAGCUGGUUACCGCCGAAG